GGAGGAAGGUGCAGCUAGAUUGUGGAGCUGUUUGUCUCUGGGACUCUCCCUUCCUUUGACUUCACCAUGGCUUGGCUCCUUUUUCCCUUCGCUGUUCUCAGCUUCUGCUCAGGUCUGGUUCUGGGUGGUUAAUGGGAUCAGGUCGUCUUGUGCUCAGAUAAUGGGUCAAGUAACACACCCAUUUAUAGAAACACAAUUCUUUUAUGAUCCUUAUUAACACAGAAAAUGAUGCUUUUUUCUUUUUCUUUUUGCAAAGGUGUCAUUUCACAGACUGUAACUCAGCCUGCCUCAGAGUCUGUGUCCCUGGGCCAAACUGUGAAGCUCCCCUGCUCCAGAAGUAGUGCUCUUAACUGGGGCAGCAUUGGCUGGUAUCAACAGAAACCUGAACAGGCUCCUCGCUUUCUGCUCUAUGGGACCAGCAGGGAGAAGGGAUCCCAGAUCGGUUCACAGGUUCAGCCUCUGAGAACAAUGGCUAUUUAACCAUCUCCAACAUCCAGACUGAAGAUGAGGCAGUUUAUUACUGUGGUGCCGCAGAGGGCACUGGUGGCUGGAAGUAU